GAUGAACGCUGGCGGCGUGCCUAAUACAUGCAAGUCGAGCGAACAGAUGAGGAGCUUGCUCCUCUGACGUUAGCGGCGGACGGGUGAGUAACACGUGGAUAACCUACCUAUAAGACUGGGAUAACUUCGGGAAACCGGAGCUAAUACCGGAUAAUAUAUUGAACCGCAUGGUUCAAUAGUGAAAGACGGUUUUGCUGUCACUUAUAGAUGGAUCCGCGCCGCAUUAGCUAGUUGGUAAGGUAACGGCUUACCAAGGCAACGAUGCGUAGCCGACCUGGGAGGUUGUUCGGCCACACUGGAACUGAGACACGGUCCAGACUCCUACGGGAGGCAGCAGUAGGGAAUCUUCCGCAAUGGGCGAAAGCCUGACGGAGCAACGCCGCGUGAGUGAUGAAGUUCUUCGGAUCGUAAAACUCUGUUAUUAGGGAAGAACAAAUGUGUAAGUAACUAUGCACGUCUUGACGGUACCUAAUCAGAAAGCCACGGCUAACUACGUG
rnacentral:rRNA from 1 species